rnacentral:rRNA from 1 species
UGGGGAAUAUUGCACAAUGGGCGCAAGCCUGAUGCAGCCAUGCCGCGUGUAUGAAGAAGGCCUUCGGGUUGUAAAGUACUUUCAGCGAGGAGGAAGGCAUUGCGGUUAAUAACCGCAGUGAUUGACGUUACUCGCAGAAGAAGCACCGGCUAACUCCGUGCCAGCAGCCGCGGUAAUACGGAGGGUGCAAGCGUUAAUCGGAAUUACUGGGCGUAAAGCGCACGCAGGCGGUCUGUCAAGUCGGAUGUGAAAUCCCCGGGCUCAACCCGGGAACUGCAUUCGAAACUGGCAGACUAGAGUCUUGUAGAGGGGGGUAGAAUUCCAGGUGUAGCGGUGAAAUGCGUAGAGAUCUGGAGGAAUACCGGUGGCGAAGGCGGCCCCCUGGACAAAGACUGACGCUCAGGUGCGAAAGCGUGGGGAGCAAACA